UGAGGGACGAGGGCGUGUGGAGAAAGGGCCGCGGCGGGCGUCCUCAACGUGCAAUAGUCGGCCAGAGCAGAGCAGGAUACUUGCUGAACAGCAAGACUUCCUAGCUAUUGCAGAUAUGCAUGAGGAAAACAAAGCUGCAGCAAAUGUAUGUGGCAAAAUCCGAAGUGGCACUCAGAAUGAGGCUGCUUUACUUGCCCUUAUGGAGAAGACUGGAUACAGCAUGGUUCAAGAGAAUGGACAAAGAAAAUUUGGUGGGCCUCCACCAGGUUGGGAAGGUCCUCCACCACCUCGUGGAUGUGAAGUUUUUGUGGGUAAGAUUCCUCGUGACAUGUAUGAAGAUGAAUUGGUUCCUGUUUUCGAGAGAGCUGGGAAGAUCUAUGAAUUUAGACUCAUGAUGGAAUUCAGUGGUGAGAAUCGAGGCUAUGCUUUUGUGAUGUAUACUACUAAAGAGGAAGCCCAGCUAGCAAUCAAGAUUCUUAACAAUUAUGAAAUUCGUCCAGGGAAGUUUAUUGGUGUCUGUGUAAGCUUGGACAACUGCAGACUGUUUAUUGGAGCAAUUCCAAAAGAAAAGAAGAAAGAAGAAAUACUGAAUGAAAUGAAGAAAGUUACAGAAGGAGUGGUGGAUGUCAUUGUUUAUCCAAAUGCCACUGACAAAACUAAAAAUCGUGGCUUUGCUUUUGUAGAAUAUGAAUCUCACAGAGCAGCUGCAAUGGCUAGGAGGCGGCUUAUCCCAGGAACAUUUCAGCUUUGGGGUCAUACUAUUCAAGUAGACUGGGCAGAUCCUGAGAAAGAAGUUGAUGAAGAAACAAUGCAAAAAGUUAAGGUAUUAUAUGUAAGAAAUUUGAUGAUAUCUACUACAGAGGAGACAAUUAAAGCCGAAUUCAACAAGUUCAAGCCAGGAAUAGUUGAACGUGUAAAGAAGCUGAGAGACUAUGCUUUUGUUCACUUUUUCCACCGAGAUGAUGCACUGGCUGCUAUGUCUGUGAUGAAUGGAAAGUGCAUUGAUGGAGCCAGUAUUGAGGUAACACUGGCAAAGCCAGUUAACAAAGAAAGUACUUGGAAGCAACAUUUUAAUGGUCAGAUAAGUCCCAGUUCUGAAAAUCUCUUGGGGUUUCCUAACAAAGAAGAUGGUCAUCAAAAACCCUUAGGGAAACCAGUGAGUCUUCCAGUUCAUCUUAAUGGUCAGCACAGUCCAGUCCCCACUGAAGUUGAAAGAUGUACGUACCCAUUUUUUCCAGGAAUAAAACUUACUCCAAUUAGCAUGUAUUCUUUAAAAUCCAGUCACUUCAGUUCUGCAGCAAUGCAUCUGGAUUAUUUUUGUAAUAAAAAUAAUUGGGCACCGCCAGAAUACUACUUGUUUUCAACCACAAGUCAGGAUGGGAAAACACUCUUGGUGUACAAGGUGCUUAUUCCUGGUAUUGCUGAUGCUUCCCAGAGUAUUUUCAUGCCAGACAAACUAUGUACAACAGUGGAAGGUGCAAAGGAAUUGGCAGCACAGUUCACGCUUCUACAUCUAGCAGUGAUUUUGAGAAAAGUGUGAAUGUUUUUCUUGGAAGCAACUUACUAUAAGUAUGCAUUUACAAAGAUGACAAGGAAUAAUUCCUUCUGCCAACUGUAUACCCUAUUUGGCUUGAACUGCCCUCAAGAAAAGUUCAGGAUGUUUUGCUUUGGAUCUUGCUAUGAAAGGAAAAAGACCACCAACUACAUUGAUACAUUCUGUGAUUCACUGGAAAAUCACAUUACAUGUUUAUUGAUGAAUAAUUCUGUAAAACACAUAUGUUUAUUAAACAUUUCACUUUAAAGAUUAGUGACAUGGAAUAUUAAAUUGUUUUGGAUAGCUUGAUUAGAUUUACUUAAUUUGUUUAAAAGAUUUGUUAGCUGUAGUAGUUUAUAAAACAGUUUAUUUUUAGUGUUGAAAUAAUUUGCUACAAUUCCUUGUAUUUUGAGUUUCACACAAAUGUUACAGCUUCUGUGAUAAUAAAUGUUAAGAAUCAUUAAAAAACAUAACCAACAAUGCACCACCUUGGCAACUCUGCCUUUUCGUACGUAAACAUGCAUAAUACAAAACUUAAAUAUCAUACUCAGAUUUGUUUCUGUAACUUGAUGCAAAAUUUCAUAGGAGGAACAUGCUCAAUAGCAUCUUCUGGUACAGCAUUGCAUCAACAGAGGAGUGGUAUUUUGAAGGGCCUGUUUUGAUGUCAACUUACCAUCAGGCUACAUAAGAUGUAUUACUGUAUUUGUAAUGUUGAGCUUCAAUACCUUAAGUAAUUCUUUGAGACAAAAAAUGAGCAAAAACCCCACAACUUGAUACAUACAAAUUACAUGUACUUUUAUGUACAGCUCACUAAGUUGCAUUUACUGUUGUUAGCACAGCUCUGUUGGACAUGUGUGCUUUCAUGUUUACAGAGGCCUUAUUCAUAUCCAGGCUAUCCCUUGUAACCAACACUUCUACUUGCCUGUGGUAGCCAUGUUGAACAGCAGUUUGCUCACUUUCUAAUCAGGCCAUGUUCUUCUGAAGAAAGCAUUGUUUAGCAUUAAACUGAAAAUAGUUUUGAAUUUUUAAAAUUGGGUAGGUAUAAUUAAUUUUGAGUGAGCCAUCUUGAUUUUCAUUGUGACUGUUUAGCCUUUCUCAGUAAAGUGCUUUAUUUAUUGAAUGACAAAAAAAUAAGGGGCAUGUUUUGUCUGUUUUUAAAAUCUGAAGCUAAUGGAGUAGAUCAUCCUUCCUUUUGGAAUUUAAUAUACAGUUUCAGUUCCUGUUCAAGGAAUGCAUCAGUCAAGUGGCAUACUUUUAAGAGUCUGAGAGCCUCACCUAUGCAAGUAUUGGUUGUAAGCUUUUUUGCCUGAAAAGUGUUUGUCAAAACUAUUAUGUAGACAGAAAAUGAUGCAAUGGAAAGAUCUAAAGCUGAAUAGUUCUUAAAAGCAGUCAACUAUUGUGGUCCAUCACAUAUUUCGGUUCAACAUGUUUCAUCACCAUAUUGUCUUUUUUUUUGUGUCAAUUUCAGUGUAGUUAUAGGAGUUUAAUUUGCGUUUGAUAUUGGCUACAUAAUAGUUGUUUUAAGUGUUUUAAUUUUUAAUGUUGAAAUCAUGUGUUUGACUUCUGUACAUGAAUUCGCAUUUCUAUUAAAUUUACACUGUUAGUA